rnacentral:lncRNA from 1 species
GAGAAACAGUAAUGGAAGGGAGAAAAGAACUUGAGGGAGCUUAUCUUUUGCCUUUGAAACUGAAAACCCCAAUUUUGUUGAAUAUUUGCUUUCAGCUGUAAUUAAGGGAAAGAAACUGGGACAAGCUGGAGUUGAAGCUAUGGGAGGUGCAAGUGGAUGGCAUCUCUCAAGCUGAGCAUCCAAAUUAGAAGUCCGUGGUGAGGGCAUAGCUGCGAUCCCUGAAGCUCAAUACCAUGAUUGAGAAAGCACCGAAAUAGCUGUGGAGAGGGGUUAGAGAAAUGGUGAAGGAAAUGCUGGCUGCGCAGCACUGCCUCUGCCCCAGCUCCAGACCAUUAGUCACAGGAGAGACUUCAUCAUCACCAUCCUCCCUGUUCCCG